rnacentral:lncRNA from 1 species
ACCGACGUGAACUACCCUGACAGGAAACCAAAAGGUUAAUCUUUUCAACUUCAUAGACGUCGGAUCCCCUGAAACACUGACGUCCCAUUUCAUUUUAAAUAGACCGCAGACUCUUCACACCAUUCAGUUUCUGAUCUCGUCUUCAUCUCUUCUCCUUUUUCUCUGAUUUUCCUCUUCUUUUACUCGCUUGGGCACCUCUACUUUUUAUCUCUUGCGGCAUUGCAUUGUUGUUUCUCAAUAUGUUAUUUUCUUCGUCCUCUCCUUUUUCUCUUUUGCAUCUC